rnacentral:lncRNA from 1 species
GUCUUCCGGGACUUCCUGGACAGCCAGGUGCUCCAGGGUUUGGCUCCCCAGGCUCACCUGGUCAGCCCGGUUUUCCUGGGGACAGAGGGCAGAGAGGUAAUGAGGGACAGCCAGGAGUAUCUUUGCCUGGACUGCCGGGGAGAGACGGGCAGCCUGGGCCUCCGGGCCCCCCGGGGCCCCCAGGGCUGCCAGGAACAUCAUCUGGAAAUGGGCUCUGCCUUCGGGGGACGCCAGGGCUUCCAGGCCUUCGGGGAGAGCAAGGAUUUCCAGGAGACAGAGGGCAGCCGGGUACAUGCUGUUGAAGGCCGUUGCUCGUGAAUUACACUGAAACGACAUUGCUUUCUAACUCCACGUACAGCUGGGUGACAGGUAAUGACACGCGUUCUGUUUCUGCAGGUGACAAAGGGGAGACCUGCAUUAACUGCUUCUCCGGUGCCGAUGCCAUUCCGGGGCCUCCGGGUCCUCCCGGUCCAUCCGGAUUCACAGGUAUCGCGUUUUCUCUUCCAAGUUUAUAACUCAUGCGUGACUCUUAUUCUCCUCUUUAAGUCCACGAGAGCAGGCUGUUGACUGACCGUACACCGUUCUGUUCACGUCCAUCACCGUAUGCCUUUGACUGGACAUGCAUGCAAGUUCUCUUCAUGUCCUUCACAAAAUGUCUAUGGCCAUCUAUGGGGUUUAGGUCCUCCAGGACCACCUGGGAUUAAAGGUGACAAAGGGAUCCCAGGAAUCCCUGGACAAUCUGGCCCUCCAGUAAGAAACCUGCAUUUUAAUUUUUUCGUUGUGCCUCUUUAUAUUUGUGUUUUUUAAUUGAUUUAGUAUAUAUUUCUGUAUAAUUCCACUCUACUAGGAGCUCAGAUGACUUUCAGCAAGGCCUUUGCAAAAUCUCUCUCUGUUUCCAGGGAUUGCCUGGGGACCAAGGACCGCCAGGUGUUGCAGGACAGAAAGGAGACCCGGGAGAUGCUGUCUCUAUUGGUAGGAUGAAGGGCGAUAAAGGAGACACGGGCUUUCCGGGUCCACCUGGUCUACCUGGCCUGAAUGGAAGACCUGGCCAAGACGGAAUCCCAGGUUCACCUGGACCAAUAGGGUUACCUGGAUCUCUCUUCGUUAAAGAGGAACAUGGCCCACCAGGGGAACCUGGAAUCCCAGGCAUUCCUGGGGACAGGGGAUCUCCAGGAGCACCAGGGUUUGGCCUUCAAGGGCCUCCAGGAGAGAAAGGUGUCCAAGGUGUAUCGGGGCGGGCAGGUCCACCUGGUCCCCCAGGUAAGAUUCCAGUCGUUUCCAAAUUCUGUGCAGCAUUUUAUGACCAUAUGCUGACCUUGCUGUGGCAGUGUGCUAAGGAGAGGUUGCUGCCCACAGGUCAAAAAGGUGAGCCAGGCCAGGUUGUUUCAGCGAAGGGUGUCCCUGGUCCUAUAGGGCUGAGUGGCGAGCCUGGCAUCGCAGGACCUCCUGGUACAGAAUUCACCUGUGUUCAAUACUUGAAGAGGAUGGUGUGUUCACAAUUGCAGAAUGUCAUUCUGUAA